AUCCUCGUUAGCUUAGUUGGUAGAGCACUGCACUGGAAAUAAAGAGGUCUCUUGUUCGAUAACAGGAACAGGAUA
rnacentral:tRNA from 1 species